rnacentral:rRNA from 1 species
GACGAACGCUGGCGGCGUGCUUAACACAUGCAAGUCGAACGGAAAGGCCCUGCUUUUGUGGGGUGCUCGAGUGGCGAACGGGUGAGUAACACGUGAGUAACCUGCCCUUGACUUUGGGAUAACUUCAGGAAACUGGGGCUAAUACCGGAUAGGAGCUCCUGCUGCAUGGUGGGGGUUGGAAAGUUUCGGCGGUUGGGGAUGGACUCGCGGCUUAUCAGCUUGUUGGUGGGGUAGUGGCUUACCAAGGCUUUGACGGGUAGCCGGCCUGAGAGGGUGACCGGCCACAUUGGGACUGAGCUACGGCCCAGACUCCUACGGGAGGCAGCAGUGGGGAAUAUUGCACAAUGGGCGGAAGCCUGAUGCAACAACGCCGCGUGCGGGAUGACGGCCUUCGGGUUGUAAACCGCUUUCGCCUGUGACGAAGCGUGAGUGACGGUAAUGGGUAAAGAAGCACCGGCUAACUACGUG